AACCAGCCACGGGCACCGGGGUGGGCACGGGGAAAGGACUGCCUGCGGCUCCUCAGCCGGGGGCUGCUCUGAACGGGCCCCCUGAGAUGCCUCACCCCGGACACGCCCCAGCGCCAGCCCAGAAGCACCCAAAGAAUCCAGGCGGCACUCGGCAGGGUCGGCACGGCGGGGCUGCAGAGCAGCGCGGGCAGCCAUUCCCAGGGCCCACCUCCCAGAGCUCCCCCGCGCCCCCCACGCGUGUCCCGCCCGCCCCAAAUCCCUGCCCUUCCAGCCGGAGCCCAGCAGCCAGCAGCAGCCUUAAAGCCGGGGCCAUGUGCCCUCAGCGGCACUAAAGCCCGAGCCAGAGCCCUCGGAGAUGCCUGAAAAGAAAAGGGGAUGCUCGGAGAAAGUCGGGCUCGGAGGCAAUUCGCAGUUUUUCGGGGACCCAACCGCACCUGCAGAGCCCGUGGACAGCUGGAACAGGUGGGUCAGAGCCGAGGUGCCCUGAAGGCAGGGCUGUGCAUCCCUUUCCUCGGGGAAAAGAAUUCCCCGGGGCCGCUCCCGAGGCUCCGAAGGGACAGCGGCUUCCCGGCCGGAGAGACGUCCUCGCCCCUGCUCAGGGGCUGCCUCGCCCCGGGCCGGGAGCGCGUCCGGCCCCCGCCUUCUCCUGGGCGAACCCAUCCCCUGGAGCCCGGCCCGGGGCGGAAAAGCGGCCGAAUUCCAGCGAACUCGCUCAAGUCCCCCCAGGGACACCAGCGGGGCUGGGGGAGGAGGGUUAGAAACAGCAAAGUCUGUGGAAUAUCAACCUGUCCUUGUCCCGAUCCCGCUGAGCAAACCUGGAACUGUGGCUGCUUCCUGGCAAACCUGGCGUUAGAGCAGCAGCUCUGCGGGGGAACAUCCGGGCUCCAGGAGGCACUGGGAGGCUGUUGCAGCAGGAAUUCGGCAUGGAAUUGCGGGCUGUAGGUGAAUUGUGCACAAGCCAGUCCCCCAUUCCCUAUCCAGGCUGGGAGUGCUCGUGCCCUUGGCACAGAUGGCUCUGGCUGGGCAGGAACUGAGAGCAGGACAUGGGGCAGAGUGGAUCAGCUGCCCAGGGAACCUCCAGGAGAUGAAGCUACGGGAUCCUCAUUCCAAUCAAGGGAACACGUUCUGUCUCUGGCAGAAGCCGGGAGCCAAAGCAGAUCCCGCCUGGCCAGGCUGGGGGGCAGCAGUUGGAUCCACUCUGGGGGAAAGCCCCUGUGCCUGCCAGGAGCUCUGACUCUGUUUGUCCUGCCAGCUCCUGACCAGUGUCAGGGCCACUGGGAGGGAUUCAGAAUCCAAAGAAAUCCCAAAUCCUACUGAGGGACUCAAUCAAAGGAAGAAAGUAAUUUUUGUCAUAAAAAGCUUAAAAAAACUGUUAAAAAUUCUAGGACAGCAAUACUGGGAUUCUCA